UACGUAGGGUGCGAGCGUUGUCCGGAAUUAUUGGGCGUAAAGAGCUCGUAGGCGGUGUGUCACGUCGGCCGUGAAAACCUGCAGCUUAACUGUGGGCGUGCGGUCGAUACGGGCAUCACUGGAGUUCGGCAGGGGAGACUGGAAUUCCUGGUGUAGCGGUGAAAUGCGCAGAUAUCAGGAGGAACACCUGCGGCGAAGGCGGGUUGCUGGGCUGAUACUGACGCUGAGGCGCGGAAAGCCAGGGGAGCGAACGGG
rnacentral:rRNA from 1 species